rnacentral:rRNA from 1 species
GAGGUUUGGCACCUCGAUGUCGGCUCAUCGCAUCCUGGGGCUGUAGUCGGUCCCAAGGGUUGGGCUGUUCGCCCAUUAAAGCGGUACGCGAGCUGGGUUCAGAACGUCGUGAGACAGUUCGGUCCCUAUCCGUCGCGGGCGCAGGAAAUUUGAGAGGAGUUGCCCUUAGUACGAGAGGACCGGGGUGAACAAACCGCUGGUGUACCAGUUGUUCCGCCAGGAGCAUGCUGGGUAGCUAUGUUUGGAAGAGAUAAACGCUGAAAGCAUCUAAGUGUGAAACUCGCCUCGAGAUGAGAUUUCCCAUUCGAAAGAAGUAAGACCCCUUAGAGAUGAUGAGGUAGAUAGGCUAGAAGUGGGAGUUGAGUGAUCAAUGAAGCGGACUAGUACUAAUAGGUCGAGGACUUAACCAAAGUCAAGAACUCANUUNCGGAAGNUAUCAGUGGCAUAACUUUANANGAANAAUUCGANACCAUUNAGUUUUNCGCUAAACNAAAGGUCUAUUU